AUCCAGGUGACGAGUCCCAAAUAGGACGUAAUGCGUGUCCUGGAU
rnacentral:hammerhead_ribozyme from 1 species